rnacentral:rRNA from 1 species
CCUACGGGAGGCAGCAGUGAGGAUUAUUGGUCAAUGGACGAGAGUCUGAACCAGCCAAGUAGCGUGAAGGAUGACUGCCCUAUGGGUUGUAAACUUCUUUUAUAUGGGAAUAAAAUGUUCCACGUGUGGGAUUUUGUAUGUACCAUAUGAAUAAGGAUAGGCUAACUCCGUGCCAGCAGCCGCGGUAAUACGGAGGAUCCGAGCGUUAUCCGGAUUUAUUGGGUUUAAAGGGAGCGUAGGUGGAUUGUUAAGUCAGUUGUGAAAGUUUGCGGCUCAACCGUAAAAUUGCAGUUGAAACUGGCAGUCUUGAGUACAGUAGAGGUGGGCGGAAUUCGUGGUGUAGCGGUGAAAUGCUUAGAUAUCACGAAGAACUCCGAUUGCGAAGGCAGUUCACUGGACUGCAACUGACACUGAGGCUCGAAAGUGUGGGUAUCAAACAGGAUUAGAUACCCCUGUAGUC